AACGCACAUUGCGCCCCUCGGUAUUCCGGGGGGCAUGCCUGUUCGAGCGUCAUUACACCCCUCAAGCGUAGCUUGGUAUUGGGCGUCGUCAUCCUGCGGGGGACGUGCCCCAAAAUCAGUGGCGGUCCGGUGCGACUUCAAGCGUAGUAAAUCUAUCCCGCUUUGGAAGCCUUCGCCCCGCGGCCUGCCAGCAACCUUCACCAUCGUGAAAUUUUCAAUGAUUGACCUCGGAUCAGGUAGGGAUACCCGCUGAACUUAA
rnacentral:misc_RNA from 2 species